UUUUUUUUUUUUGGAAGCCUCUUGCUUGUACUUCCUGUUUUAUUAGGUUGAGCCUCCCUAAUCGCAAAGUCCAAAAUUCAAAUAUCGCCUACAUCUGAAGGUGUUUGAGAGCCGUCAUGAUGCAACAAGUGGGAAGUGUCUGCAUCUGAGGCCAUGUGACGAGUCAGUCAGAACGCAAGCACACCACAAAUACGGCACAAAAGGACCCUCAGCCUGUGCUGUAAGCAUUGGUGUAGCAAUGGGUAACAGUCUUCACGUAACAACAGCAAACUACGUAGCUACAUGUUGUGACAGUAUGGGUUAAAAUCGAGAGUCACUGUGGAGCCUGAGCUUGCUUCUUUCUCACCAGAUCAGAAAUUCUUGGGACAGCCUUUGCAAGAGCACAGUGAAGAUCCUCUUCCACAACAAGUCUACCUUUGUAUUAGACUCGAUAACCAGCAAGCUGAAUAACCCUGUUUCACAAAGAUAUGUUGUUGGAAGAGGAAGAGAAGGCACAACACAGUCUCAGACAGAAUGGGAUAUGACUGCUAACACUUGAUUCAGAAUCUUCUAAUUGGCAUCGCAGAGAAAUAAGUUUUCACUGCAUUGCUGUGGAAUAGUCCUUUACACUGUGUGAAUAUAUGUUACUGUGAUUGGUUUAAUAAAGAAGCUGAAACCGGGCAGUGGUGGCACACACCUUUA